UUUAGAACUUGAGUUUGUGUGUUUGUUGAACUUUAGUUUGUGGCGUGUUUGAACUUGAGUUUGUGAUGUUUUUGAAGUUGAGGUUGUGGCAAUUGUUAAACUUGAGAUUUGGGUGUUGGUUGAACUUCAGAUUCAGUGUUGUGGUGUUUUAGAACUUGAGAUUGUGUGUUUGUUGAACUUGAGUUUGUGGCGUGUUUGAACUUGAGUUUGUGGUGUUUUUGAAGUUGAGGUUGUGGCAAUUGUAAAACUAGAGAUUUGGGUGUUGGUUGAACUUCAGAUUCGGUGUUGUGGUGUUUUUGAACUUGAAUUUGUGUGUUUUUUGAACUUGAGUUUGACGCAAUUUUUGAACUUGAGUUUGUUGAACUUGAGUUUUUGGCAAUUGUUAACUGUGAGUUUAGGUCAUUUGUUGAAUUUGAAAUUUUGGCAUUUUUUGAACUUAAGAUUGUGGUGUUUGUUGAACUUGAGUUUGUGGCGUGUUUUUGAACUUGAGUUUGUCUGUAUGUUGAAAUUGAGUUUUUAGCGUGUUUGAACUUGAGUUUGUUUUUUUUUUUAACUAGAAGUUGUUGCAAUUGUUAAACUUGAGAUUUGGGUGUUGGUUGAACUUCAGAUUUGGUGUUGUGGUGUUUUAGAACUUGAGUUUGUGUGUUUGUUGAACUUGAGUUUGUGGUGUGUCUGAACUUGAGUUUGUGGUGUUUUUGAAGUUGAGGUUGUGGCAAUUAUAAAACUAGAGAUUUGGGUGUUGGUUGAACUUCAGAUUUGGUGUUGUGGUGUUUUUGAACUUGAAUUUGUGUGUUUUUUGAACUUGAGUUUGUUGCAAUUUUUGAACUUGAAUUUGUUGAACUUGAGUUUUUGGCAAUUGUUAAAUGUGAGUUUUGGUCAUUAAUUGAAUUUGAAAUUUUGGCAUUUUUUGAACUUAAGAUUGUGGUGUUUGUUGAACUUGAGUUUGUGGCGUGUUUUUGAACUUGAGUUUGUCUGUAUGUUGAAAUUGAGUUUUUGGCGUGUUUGAACUUGAGUUUGUUUUGUUUUUGAACUUGAGGUUUUUGAAAUUGUUUAACUUGAGAAUUGGGUAUUGAUUGAACUUGAGUUCGUGUGUUUGUUGAACUUCAGUUUGUGUCGUUUAGAACUUGAGUUUGUGGUGUUUUUGAACUUGAGGAUGUGGAAAUUGUUAAAACUGAGAAUUGGGUAAUGGUUAAACUUGAGUUUGUGUGUUUGUUGAACCUUAGUUUGUGUUGUGUUUGAACUUGAGAUUGUGGUGUUUUUGAAGUUGAGGUUGUGGCAAUUGUUGAACUUGAGAUUUGGGUGUUGGUUGAACUUCAGAUUCGGUGUUGUGGUAUUUUUGAACUUGAAUUUGUGUGUUUUUUGAACUUGAGUUUGUUGCAAUUUUUGAACUUGAGUUUGUUGAACUUGAGUUUUUGGCAAUUGUUAAAUGUGAGUUUAGGUCAUUUGUUGAAUUUGAAAUUUUGGCAUUUUUUGAACUUAAGAUUGUGGUGUUUGUUGAAUUUGAGUUUGUGGCAAUUGUUGAACUUGACUCUGUAUAUUUCCCUGAACUUAAGUUGGUGGCAAUUGUUGAACUUGAGUUUGUGGCGUUUGUUGUACUUGAGUUUGUGGCGUGUUUGAACUUGAGUUUCUGUUGGUUUUUUGAACUUGAGGUUGUGGAAAUUGUUAAACUUGAGACUUGGGAUUUGGUUGAACUUGAGUUUGUGUCGUGUUUGAACUUGAGUUUGUGUCGUCUUUGAACUUGAGUUACUGUUGUUUUUUAAUUUGAGGUUGUGGCAAUUGUGAAACUUAAGAUUUGGGUGCUGGUUGAACUUGAGUUUGUGUCCUGUUUGAACUUGAGUUUGUGGCGUGUUUUAACUUGAGUUACAAUUGUUUUUUAACUUGAGGUUGUGGCAAUUGUUAAACUUAAGAUUUGGAUGCUGGUUGAACUUGAGUUUGUGUCCUGUUUGAACUUGAGAUUGUUUGUUUGUCUAACUUGAGUUUGUGGCGUGUUUUAACUUGAAUUUCUGUUCUUUUUUAACUUGGGUUUUUGGCAAUUGUUAAUCUUUAGAAUUGGGUGUUGGUUGAACCUAAAACUUUGACAAUUGUUGAACUUGACUUUGUGGUGUUCAUUUAACUUGAGUUUGUGUCUUGUUUGAACUUGACUUUUUGGUGUUUUUGAACUUGAGUUUGUGUUUCUUGUUUGAACUUGAGUCUUUGGUGUUUUUGAACUUUAGUUUGUGUGUUUUUUGAACUUAAGGUUGUGGCAAUUGUUAAACUUGAGAUUUGGGAUUUGGUUGAACUUGAGUUUGUGUCGUGUUUGAACUUGAGUUUGUGUCGUCUUUGAACUUGAGUUACUGUUGUUUUUUAAUUUGAGGUUGUGGCAAUUGUUAAACUUAAGAUUUGGGUGCUGGUUGAACUUGAGUUUGUUUGUCUAACUUGAGUUUGUGGCGUGUUUUAACUUGAGUUACAAUUGUUUUUUAGCUUGAGGUUGUGGCAAUUGUUAAACUUAAGAUUUGGAUGCUGGUUGAACUUGAGUUUGUGUCCUGUUUGAACUUGAGAUUGUUUGUUUGUCUUACUUGAGUUUGUGGCGUGUUUUAACUUGAAUUUCUGUUGUUUUUUAACUUGAGUUUUUGGCAAUUGUUAAUCUUUAGAAUUGGGUGUUGGUUGAACUUAAAACUUUGACAAUUGUUGAACUUGACUUUGUGGUGUUCAUUUAACUUGAGUUUGUGUCUUGUUUGAACUUGACUUUUUGGUGUUUUUGAACUUGAGUUUGUGUUUCUUGUUUGAACUUGAGUCUUUGGUGUUUUUGAACUUUAGUUUGUGUGUUUUUUGAACUUAAGGUUGUGGCAAUUGUUAAACUUGAGAUUUAUGUGUUGGUUGAACUUGAGUUUGUGGUGUUUUUGAACUUGAGUUUGUGGCCUUUGUUGAACUUGAGUUUGUGGCAUGUUUUAACUGGAAUUUUUGUUGUUUUUUAACUUGAGGUUUUGGCAAUUGUUAAACUUUAGAUUUGGGUGUUGGUUGAACUUAAAACUUUGACAUUUGUUGAACUUGAGUUUGUGGUGUUCAUUUAACUUGACUUUGUGUCUUGUUUGAACUUGACGAUGUGGUGUUUUUUGAACUUGAUUUUGUGUGUUUUUUGAACUUAAGUUUGUGGCAAUUGUUAAACUUGAGUUUGCGGAAAUUGUUGAACUUGAGAAUUGGGUGUUUGUUGAACUUGAGUUUGUGUCAUGUUUGCACUUGAGUUUGUGGUGUUUUUGAAUUUGAUUUUGUGUGUUUUUUUAACUUGAGUUUGUGUGUUUUUGAAACUAAGAUUGUGGCAAUUGUUAAACUUGAGUUUGUGUGUUUUUUGAACUUGAGUUUGUCGUGUUUUUGAACUUGAGUUUGUCUGUUUUUUGAACUUAAGUUUGUGGCAAUUGUUAAAUUUGAGAUUUGGGUUUUGGUUGAACUUGAUUUUAAGGUGUUUUUGAACUUAAGUUUAUGUGUUUGUUUAACUUGAGUUUGUGGCAUGUUUUAACUUGAGUUUCUGUUGUUUUUGAAGUUGAGGUUGUGGCAAUUGUCAAACUUGAGAUUUGUGAUUUGGUUUAACUUGAGUUUGUGUCGUGUUUGUACUUGAGUUUGUGACGUGUUUUAACCUGAAUUUUUUUUGUUUUUCUAACUUCAGGUUUUGGCAAUAGUUAAACUUUAGAUUUCGGUUUGGUUGAACUUAAAACUUUGACAUUUGUUGAACUUGUGUAUGUGGUGUUCAUUGAACUUGAGUUUGUGUCUUGUUUGAACUCGACUUUGUGGUGUUUCGUAACCUGAGUUGGUGGUGUUUUUGAACUUGAGUUUCGUGUUUGAACUUGAGUUUGUUGAACUUGAGUUUGUGUCGUGUUUGCACUUGAGUUUGUGGUGUUUUUGAACUUGAUUUUGUUUGUUUGUUGAACUUGAGUUUGUGGUCUUUUUGAACUUUAGUUGGUGGUGUUUUUGAACUUGAGUUUCGUGUUUGAACUUGAGUUUGUUGAACUUAAGUUUGUGUCGUGUUUGCACUUGAGUUUGUGGUGUUUUUGAACUUGAUUUUGUUUGUUUGUUGAACUUGAGUUUGUGGUCUUUUUGAACUUUAGUUGGUGGUGUUUUUGAACUUGAGUUUCGUGUUUGAACUUGAGUUUGUGGGUUUUUUUUAACUUGAGUUUGUGGUGUUUUUGAACUUCAGUUUGAGUAUGUUUGUUUGUUGAACUUGAGUUUGUGUUGUUUUUGAACUUGAGGUUGUGGAAAUUGUUAAACUCGCCCUCCUCGAGCCAUCAUGAAGGCAGAGGUGGCGGGGGUAGAGCAGCAAUGAACAGAAUCCCCCCGGAACAGGAGCGCUUCAAGGGUAGCGGAGCAAUUAGCUGGCACGAGGGUGGAGCUUGGGUGGCAGUGUGUUGCUGGUUUGCUGUCAGAGCAGAGGAAGAGGCUGGGUUAGUGCAGUUUUAAACAAGGCACUCUAUAGGCAAAGAACCAAUAGGAGCUAGGUGUGAAUCAGCUGAUUAUCAUCUGGUUGAGGCGGCUACUAGCCAGUGGCUGUGGAUCAGCGCUUGACGUUGUGUCCUGACAGAACUAACACUAUGCUUUAUUUCAGUCAGGUACACUGUCAAAAUUUUAAGCUUUAUUGUGCAAGUUAGAUUUGGCGGCAUGAUUCUGUUCUGGGUCCCUGCCCUUCCACGUGCUUGUGUGGAAGCCUGAGGCAGGAAGAGACCCUUCCUGCCCUUCACGAGCCAUCAUGAAAUGCGAUAGCAGGAAGCGCACGCGAGGUUCUGUUCAGGGCCCCCGUUCUCCACGUUGGUGGGGGGGAAAGUGAAAGUUAGUGUGUUUGUUGAACUUGAGUUUAUGUUUUGUUUGAACUUGAGUUUUUGGUGUUUUUAAACUUGACUUUGUGUGUUUGUUGAACUUGAGUUUGUGUUGUGUUUGAACUUGAGUCUGUGUCAUGUUUGAACUUGAGUUUGUGGUGUUUGUUGAACUUGAGUUUGUGUCGUGUUUGCACUUGAGUUUGAGGUGUUUUUGAACUUGAUUUUGUGUGUUUGUUGAACUUGAGUUUGUGGUCUUUUUGAACUUGAGUUGGUGGUGUUUUUGAACUUGAGUUUCGUGUUUAAACUUGAGUUUUUGGUGUUUGUUGAACUUGAGUUUGUGUCGUGUUUGCACUUGAGUUUGUGGUGUUUUUGAACUUGAUUUUGUUUGUUUGUUGAACUUGAGUUUGUGGUGUUUGUUGAACUUGAGUUAGUGGUGUUUCUGAACUUGAGAUUCAUGUUUGAACUUGAGUUUGUGGUUUUUGUUGAACUUGAGUUUGUGUCGAUUUUGAACUUGAGUUUGUGGUGUUUUUGAACUUGAGUUUGUGGUUAUUUUUAAGUUAAGGGUGUGGAAUUUGUUGAACUUGAGGUUGUGGCAAUUGUUAGACUUAAGUUUGUGUUUUAGUUGAAUUUGAGUUUGUUUCGUGUUUGAACUUGAGUUUGUUUUGUGUUUGAACUUGAGUUUGUGGUGUUUGUUGAACUUGAGUUUGUGUCUUGUUUGAACUUGACUUUGUGGUGUUUCGUAACCUGAGUUGGUGGUGUUUUUUUGAACUUGAGUUUGCGGAAAUUGUUGAACUUGAGAAUUGGGUUUGUUGAACUUGAGUUUGUGUCGUGUUUGCACUUGAGUUUGUGGUUUUUUUAAUUUGAUUUUGUGUGUUUUUUUAACUUGAGUUCGUGGUCUUUUUGAACUUGAGUUGGUGGUGUUUUUGAACUUGAGUUUCGUGUUUGAACUUGAGUUUGUGGUGUUUGUUGAACUUGAGUUUGUGUCGUGUUUGCAAUUGAGUUUGUGGUGUUUUUGAACUUGAUUUUGUUUGUUUGUUGAACUUGAGUUUGUGGUCUUUUUGAACUUGAGUUGGUGGUGUUUUUGAACUUGAGUUUCGUGUUUGAACUUGAGUUUGUGGUUUUUGUUGAACUUGAGUUUGUGGUGUGUAGCAAUCAAGACAACCCUGGGUGUGAAACUCACACAUUCCUCACAGGAAAGUUUCCUUAUCUGGUCCCAGGAAACAGGAUAUAAAUCUUUCCAGACUUGUUUGCACUUUCAGGUUACCGUUACUGACCCAACCGGAGGUUGACUAAACCUCUGACUCUUCAUGAUUGGUCAGUUCGGCGAACAGAGACAGAGUUUUUAUUACCUUUCAAACUGACUCCAUUACUGACCAUCUAAAUAAAGAUUAACGUCUCAACCCAGAUCUCCCAUUUGAGAUUUACCUUCUUAAAGUGUGUGAACGUACGGACCCCAGGAAAAGGGGGGACACUGACCUCCAGACCUCGGUCGUAAAACCCUGCUCGACCAUGCACUGAUAAAGACUGCAUUCCUUUGGUGAAAAAAUAAAAAAGACUGAUCCUGACAUCUCAUGCAUUCAGCAAUGUACUAAUCUGUCUAAUCAUGAAAUUUGUGUUAAAAUGAGACGUUUCCCAUUGUUCUAUGUGCUCCAGAAGCCGAGUUAUCUUAUCUGACAGAAUAAAUCCUUUAUUCUUUAGUUUCUUUAGACCAACAGCUUUUCAGACUGUUUCAUGAACUUUUAAGAGUUAAAUUUAUCGACUAUGAAUCAUAACUUAACUCUAGGUAACAGAAAUAGCUUAAAAAUGUUUGGUUUAUAUUGUAGAUGUUUAUUUAGUAUUUUUAACCAUUAGGUGGUUAUAAUGUCAUUGAAUAACCUGAAUGUGAGUAUUUAGAAUCCAUUAUUAAUCAUGAUGACGUUCACUCACAUGUAUUUACUCUUUUGUUGUUCACAGUUUCCAUGUGUUACUAUCUGUUUCAUUUCAGAGUAAUUUAGCAUGUUCAAUGUGAUACUUAAAACAUAAUGAGAAUGUUUGAUGUGAUCCUACACUUCAUUCAUAUGUGUUUAGUAUCAAAUUAUUUAUCAUGAAACCAAGCAUUCAAUGAUAUUAAUCAUAGUGAGUGAGUAUCAGAUCUGACUCUUUUGCCAGCCAAAAGAAUAAGUUAGAUCAAAUAAUCAAAGACCACACGACCCCUCCUCUGUCUCACACACACACGCCGGAGACACUCCCAGUGUGAGAAGAUAAAACCAGUGAAGUGGGGUUGCUCUUCCUCUUAUGCUUCUAGUCUGAUCCCUUCUUCCUCUUGUUCACUCUUCUCCAUCACUUCCUUCCUCUCUUGUACCCACUCUUCUGCCCACACCCUUCUGUGGUGCGUUUCUUUGUUUUCUCUUAGAACUUUUCUUAGUCUACUAAGUUUUACGCUACGUGUUGAUUCACGUUGAUUUUUCUUUAACAUCGUCUUAGUUCAAGUUUUGAAACUUCAACUUUUUGUGCACAUAGCAAUUCAAGAUUAAGCCUUUGAUUGAUUUUUCUUUAAUUUCGCGAAGCCAUUUUUGAAAGUUUUCUCUGCUCGAGUCUCGUUUUUCAUUAUUUUUCUAAGUUCCUGUCUGUUAGUGUUCUUCCAGAAGUGGAGUCCCUGAAAUGAGAAUUUCGACUUUAGAUAUGAGACUGAUUAAUUAAAACUGACUUGAUGUUUGAUUUCUGAAUUAAACUUUUGUUUUCUUUAUUUUCCCACCAUUAAGGGUGGGUGGUGCCCCUUUCAACGAGUGCAUAAAUGUCACAAUUUGAGAUUAUUAAUCUUCAGACAUUUAUUAUAAAUUCCAAUCACUACAGUAUUAUUUUGGUGCGGCCUUGUGUGCCUUAUUUAAAACUGCACUAACCCAGCCUCUUCCUCUGCUCUGACAGCAAACCAGCAACACACUGCCACCCCAGCUCCACCCUCGUGCCAGCUAAUUGCUCCGCUACCCUUGAAGCGCUCCUGUUCCGGGGGGAUUCUGUUCAUUGCUGCUCUACCCCCGCCACCUCCGCCUUCAUGAUGGCUCGAGGAGGGCGAGUUUAACAAUUUCCACAACCUCAAGUUCAAAAACAAACUCUAGUUCAACAAACACCACAAACUCAAGUUCAAACACAACACAAACUUAAGUUAAAAAAACACACAAACUCAAGUUAAAACACGACACAAACUCAAGUUCAACAAAAACCACAAACUCAAGUUCAAACACGAAACUCAAGUUCAAAAACACCACCAACUAAAGUUCAAAAAGACCACAAACUCAAGUUCAAAUACGACUCAAACUCAAGUUCAACAAACACACAAACUCAAGUUAAAAAAAACCACAAACUCAAUUGCAAACAUGACACAAACUCAAGUUCAACAAACACCACAAACUCAAGUUCAAACACAAAACAAACUCAAGUUAUACACGACACAAACUUAAGUUAAACAAACACAAAAACUCAAGUUACAAACACAACACAAACUUAAGUUAAACAAACACAAAAACUCAAGUUCAAACAUGACACAAACUCAAGUUCAGCUAAAACACAAACUCAAGUUUAACAAUUGCCACAACCUCAAGUUCAACAAAUUCCACACCCUCAACUUAAAAAAAACCACAAACUCAAGUUCAACAACACCACAAACUCAAGUUCAAACAUGACACAAACUCAAGUUCAACAAAAACCACAAACUGAAGUUCAGACACCAAACUCAAGUUAAAAAACACCACAAACUUAAGUUCAAAAAAUUUCACAAACUCAAGUUCAACAAACAAACAAAAUAAAGUUCAAGCACAACACAAACUCAAGUGGAAACACGAUACAAACUCAAGUUCAACAAACACCACAAACUCAAGUUCAAACACGAAACUCAAGUUCAAAAACACCACCAACUCAAGUUCAAAAUGACCACAAACUCAAGUUCAACAAACACACAAAAUCAAGUUCAAAAACACCACAAACUCAAGUGCAAACAUGACACAAACUCUAGUUCAACAAACACCACAAACUCAAGUUCAAACCCAACACAAACUUAAGUUCAACAAACACACAAACUCAAGUUAAAACAUGACAUGAACUCAAGUUCAACAAAAACCACAAACUCAAGUUCAAACACAAACUCAAGUUCAGAAACACCACCAACUCAAGUUCAAAAAGACCACAAACUCAAGUUCAACAAACACACAAAAUCAAGUUCAAAAAUACCACAAACUCAAGUUCAAACACAACACAAACUCAAGUUCAACAAACACACAAACUCAAGUUCAAAAACACCACAAACUCAAUUGCAAACACAACACAAACUCAAGUUCAAACACAACACAAACUUAAGUUAAAAAAACACACAAACUCAAGUUCAAACACAAAACAAACUCAAGUUCAAACACGACACAAACUCAAGUUCAGCUAAAACACAAACUCAAGUUUAACAAUUGCCACAACCUCAAGUUCAACAAAUUCCACACCCUCAACUUCAAAAUAACCCCAAACUCAAGUUCAAAAUCGACACAAACUCAAGUUCAACAAAAACCACAAACUGAAGUUCAAACAUGAAUCUCAAGUUCAGAAACACCACUAACUCAAGUUCAAAAAGACCACAAACUCAAGUUCAACAAACAAAAUAAAUCAAGUUCAAAAACACCACAAACUCAAGUGCAAACACGACACAAACUCAAGUUCAACAAACACCAAAAACUCUA